GCGUAGGUGGNAGAGUNUNUCUGUAGUGAAAGCGUGUGGCUCAACCAUAUACACAUUACAGAAACUGCUCAGCUAGAGGGCGAGAGAGGUUACUAGAAUUCCUAGUGUAGGAGUGAAAUCCGUAGAUAUUAGGAGGAAUACCGAUGGCGUAGGCAGGUAACUGGCUCGUCCCUGACACUAAGGCACGAAAGCGUGGGUAGCAAACGGGAUUAGAUACCCCGGUAGUCCACGCCGUAAACGAUGGAUGCUAGCUGUAAGAGGUAUCGACCCCUCUUGUAGCGAAGCUAACGCCUUAAGCAUCCCGCCUGUGGAGUACGGUCGCAAGACUAAAACAUNNAGGAAUUGACGGGGACCCGCACAAGCGGGG
rnacentral:rRNA from 1 species